GCUGGCUGAUUCUCAGAGUAUGGCUACACUUGGAGAUGUGCAGCACGGGGGCUUACAGCUGUGUUUGUAAAGCUGUGCAGGGACAGCGCUGCACUGUGGCCACGCUGACAGCUACCAGAGCUGCAGUGUUGCCGCAUUUGCAGCAUUUGCUGCACUGUUGGGAGCGGUGCAUUGUGGGCUGCUAGCCCAGCAUUC